UCCGACUCAAUGUUCCUACGACCAAGUAUAUUUAAAAAUAGGGUUUUAAGAUUUUUAGGUCUCACUAGCAUGACCCUUUUAUAUCUCCUAAAACUAUUAUCCUAAUCUUUGAAGUUCAUUAUAAUCUUCGAUAUAAUAAGAUGUGGCUAAUAUGAUAAAUCAAUAUCUUAUUUUAUUAUCAAAUAAUAAAUAUCAUUACAUGAGUUAGAAAAUUAUAAAAAA
rnacentral:lncRNA from 1 species